rnacentral:rRNA from 1 species
UACAGAGGUCUCAAGCGUUGUUCGGAUUCAUUGGGCGUAAAGGGUGCGUAGGCGGCGCGGUAAGUCGGGUGUGGAAUCUCGGAGCUUAACUCCGAAACUGCAUUCGAUACUGCCGUGCUUGAGGACUGGAGAGGAGACUGGAAUUAACGGUGUAGCGGUGAAAUGCGUAGAUAUCGUAAGGAAGACCAGUGGCGAAGGCGGGUCUCUGGACAGUUCCUGACGCUGAGGCACGAAGGCCAGGGGAGCAAACGGG